AAUUGGAGGGAGCCGUCGAAGGUGGGGCAGAUGAUUGGGGUGAAGUCGUAACAAGGUAGCCGUAUCGGAAGGUGCGGCUGGAUCACCUCCUUUCUAAGGAA
rnacentral:rRNA from 1 species